rnacentral:rRNA from 1 species
GACGAACGCUGGCGGCGUGCUUAACACAUGCAAGUCGAACGGUGAACUCCGCUUGCGGGGGGAUCAGUGGCGAACGGGUGAGUAACACGUGGGCAACCUGCCCUCAGCUCUGGGAUAACUCCAAGAAAUUGGGGCUAAUACUGGAUAUGACCGCUGACCGCAUGGUCUGGGGGUGGAAAGAUUUAUCGGCUGGGGAUGGGCCUGUGGCCUAUCAGCUUGUUGGUGGGGUAGUGGCCUACCAAGGCGACGACGGGUAGCCGGCCUGAGAGGGUGACCGGCCACCCUGGGACUGAGGCACGGCCCAGACUCCUACGGGAGGCAGCAGUGGGGAAUAUUGCGCAAUAGGCGAAAGCCUGACGCAGCGACGCCGCGUGGGGGAUGACGGCCUUCGGGUUGUAAACCUCUUUCAGCAGGGACGAAGCGAAAGUGACGGUACCUGCAGAAGAAGCCCCGGCCAACUACGUG